rnacentral:tRNA from 1 species
CUAGGUUGUGAGCCUAUAAACAAGAAUUUAUUCCUCUUUGUCUACC